rnacentral:rRNA from 1 species
GUAACGCGUGAGCAACCUGACUCUUAGAGGGGGAUAACACCCGGAAACGAGUGCUAAUACCGCAUAAGACCACGACAUGGCAUCAUGACGAGGUCAAAGGAGCAAUCCGCUGAGAGAGGGGCUCGCGUCCCAUUAGAUAGAUGGCGGGGUAACGGCCCACCAUGUCAGCGAUGGGUAGCCGAGCUGAGAGGCUGAUCGGCCACACUGGAACUGAGACACGGUCCAGACUCCUACGGGAGGCAGCAGUGGGGAAUAUUGGGCAAUGGGCGCAAGCCUGACCCAGCAACGCCGCGUGAGGGAAGAAGGCUUUCGGGUUGUAAACCUCUGUCCUUGGUGACGAAACAAAUGACGGUAGCCAAGGAGGAAGCCCCGGCUAACUACGUGCCAGCAGCCGC